rnacentral:rRNA from 1 species
UACGGGGGGGGCAAGCGUUGUUCGGAAUUACUGGGCGUAAAGGGCGCGUAGGCGGCCUUCUAAGUCAGACGUGAAAUCCCUCGGCUCAACCGAGGAACUGCGUCUGAUACUGGAAGGCUUGAAUCCGGGAGAGGGAUGUGGAAUUCCAGGUGUAGCGGUGAAAUGCGUAGAGAUCAUGAGGAAGACCAGUGGCGAAGGCGGGUCUCUGGACAGUUCCUGACACUGAGACACGAAGGCCAGGGGAGCAAACGGG